rnacentral:rRNA from 1 species
UACGUAGGUGGCAAGCGUUGUCCGGAUUUAUUGGGUUUAAAGGGUGCGUAGGCGGGUCUUUAAGUCAGGGGUGAAAUCCUGGAGCUCAACUCCAGAACUGCCUUUGAUACUGAGGAUCUUGAGUUCGGGAGAGGUGAGUGGAACUGCGAGUGUAGAGGUGAAAUUCGUAGAUAUUCGGAAGAACACCAGUGGCGAAGGCGACUUACUGGACGAUUGUUGACGCUGAGGUGCGAAAGCGUGGGGAGCAAACAGG